rnacentral:rRNA from 1 species
UACGGGGGGAGCAAGCGUUGUUCGGAAUCACUGGGCGUAAAGGGCGUCUAGGCGGUUUGGUAAGUGGGAUGUGAAAUCCCCGGGCUCACCCCGGGACCUGCAUCCCAAACUGCUGAGCUUGAGUACAGGAGAGGGUGGGGGAAUUCCAGGUGUAGCGGUGAAAUGCGCAGAUAUCAGGAGGAACACCGAUUGCGAAGGCAGCUCGCUGGGACGUUACUGACGCUGAGACGCGAAAGCGUGGGGAGCAAACAGG